rnacentral:tRNA from 2 species
CUUUGGGUAGCUUAAAUUAAAAGCUUUAACCUCUUAAGUUAAUGAUGGUUUAGACCCCCUAAGA